AUUGAACGCUGGCGGCGUGCUUUACACAUGCAAGUCGAACGGCAGCACGGGGGCAACCCUGGUGGCGAGUGGCGAACGGGUGAGUAACACAUCGGAACGUGCCCAGUUGUGGGGGAUAACCUAUCGAAAGGUAGGCUAAUACCGCAUGAGCUCGGCAAGAGGAAAGCGGGGGACUCAGCGAUGGGCCUCGCGCGACUGGAGCGGCCGAUGUCCGAUUAGCUAGGUUGGGGGGUAAAGGCUUACCAAGGCGACGAUCGGUAGCUGGUCUGAGAGGAUGAUCAGCCACACUGGGACUGAGACACGGCCCAGGACUCCUACGGGAGGCAGCAGUGGGGAAUUUUGGACAAUGGGGGCAACCCUGAUCCAGCCAUGCCGCGUGAGUGAAGAAGGCCU
rnacentral:rRNA from 1 species